GCGUUUGUAGUCCAACGGAUAGGAUAAUUGCCUUCAAGCAAUAGACCCUGGUUGGAUUCCCAGCAGACACA
rnacentral:tRNA from 1 species